rnacentral:rRNA from 1 species
UACGGAGGGUGCAAGCGUUAAUCGGAAUUACUGGGCGUAAAGCGUGCGCAGGCGGUUUGUUAAGUCCGUUGUGAAAGCCCCGAGCUCAACUUGGGAAUUGCAGUGGAUACUGGCAGGCUGGAGUACGGUAGAGGAAGGUGGAAUUCCCGGUGUAGCAGUGAAAUGCGUAGAUAUCGGGAGGAACACCAGUGGCGAAGGCGAUCAUCUGGGGUUGUUCUGACACUGAGGAGCGAAAGCUAGGGGAGCAAACGGG